rnacentral:lncRNA from 1 species
ACGUGCUUCCUGGCUUCAAAGCUCAUUACCUAGGGAAAACCCAAGGUGAACUUAGGAGUUUGUAAAAACAGUUUGAUGAUUGAGUGGUCAUAAAAAGAAUACUUAAUUUACCCCAAUGUAAGCCUUUUAUCAACUCUACAGGGUUGGAUGGUGACCCCUGCCCCCUGGAAGACCCCCUCAAAUGUUGAGGCUGCCCUUCAGAAUCCACAGAAGGGGGCUCCUUCCUCUGAUGGCUGUCCAUGAAUCCGGCAACGAAUGUGGUGUAGAAAGGCAAUUUAAACCUGUUGGUUAAAGACCAGUGUUACAGCAAGAGUGAGCCUUAUGGAAUAGCACCUAGGAUACUAUUGUGGGAUGAAAUGUAUUCAUGUGUGUGCAAAUUGAAGACUCUAAGGUUUGGAAGACAUGGGUUAAUAUGGGAAGUGUCGUUUUUUAGAGUUAGAUUUUGACCUGAGUUUGAAGGGCUAGAGGGGUCAGGAAUGACAUGAAGAAUUUUAGGAAAAAAUGAAUAAAAGGAAGGAAGAUAACCAUUCAAGUGAGGUUGGUAGAAGUUGGGAAGGGGAUGAGGUUAAGUGUUGAUUAGUGGAGAAGCUUUUAGGGAAAACUGAAUCCCAUGUGGCUUCAGGAAAAAUGGAACUUCAUUAGCUCAUGUAAGUGAAAUCCAAGCUAAUCUUGUCUUUAGGAAGGGCUGGUCCAGGGCUCAGAUGGUGUGGUCAGGGAAGCACCCCCCUCCCUCUAUCUGGUAGCCAGGCUCCCUCCAAGUGGUUAAGUAAGACACAUUCUCUGAGCCCAGGGAUCCAGGGAGAAAACCUUUCCUGAUAGUUCCAGGAGACAAAUUUCAAAGAGGUCUCUGGCUGCUGAAGAGAUUUGGUCACAGGUCCAACCCUCUCCCAGGCACCGUGACCUUAGCAGAAUUGGGGUGUAUUGGGCAGGGGCAGCUGAGUAAACCCCAUGGGAUGGGUUGACCACCACCAAGAAGAGUUCUGCUCCCAGAAGACAGGACAAAGGAUGCCAGGCAGGCAAGAGGAGCACAUCCAUAGCAGGUAGUGAGUGCUCUGCCUAACCUCCC